CCCGUCUCUGGCAGUGUGGCUCACAAUGAUGACGAGCCCGGCCGGGGGCGGGCAGCAGCAGGCAGGCAGGCAGCCUCCCCAUACCAGCAGCACCCCUGCCGGGCGGCGGGCGGCGGCGGGGGCCUUAAAUGGCGCCAUCCCGCGAAGGUUAUUGAAUUACUGGCCGAGCUUCACGUCAGGGGAGGGUCGGAGGGCCCCCCACUUAACCCUGCUCCGCCUGCUCCGCCUCGCGCCGGGCCGCCCUGUCGCGCCCCCCGCUGACAAGCCCCACGCAUGUGGCGCGCGAAGCAGGGCGCGGUGACACACACGAAGGGCACGGCGGCGGCGCCGUCAGGGGCCUCUCCGUCAUCCUCGCCGCCGCCAAGUCUCACUCAAAGCCGCGCGGUGCGACGUCACGAAGACUGAAGAUAGACGGAGCACCAUCGUGGUGAUGUAUCACAAUGCACGCAGCUGGAGAUGCCUCCGCCGCCCUGUACGGCCGUCGUUAGAACGGGAUUGACUUUCAUCGUACCAGAUUCGGUAUGGUCCAAUGGCCAUAAUACCAUCACUGCAGGGUUUUCCUCCCUUUCGGUUGGCGCCUGGCUCCGUCCGCCCUGCUCCGCCCUCGCGCCCGCUCUGCCCGGAACAAAAGGACACCAUGCUUCACUGUGCCCAGCAGCCCGGCGCGGCCCGGCGCAGCCCCGGCCGUGUGUGCCUCCGCCGCCGCCCGGCUAAUGAGCGCACCAGCACGGACAGUGUCGAACGGUACAUAGAAUCCCUCCAGAGCGCCCAGUCAGCCGUCAGUAGCAGUACCGCGGCGCUCCGGUGUUGAGUGGCUGGCCUACCCUCCGGACUGCAGGCGCGCGACCAGCCUCCAGACCCUCCGCGCUGCUCUUCCACCUCUGCGCUCCUGCAUGCGGUCCAGUACAGCACAACUGCAAAAUAGCCAAGGGUCUGUCCGUGGGCCAUCCCGCACUGCACACCAAUAUCAUCAGUAGAAUGGCGAGUGGCUAGUGUGUCGCGGAGGCCUCAGAUUUUGCACAGAGUUGCUCGGGUUGUUGAAGAAGCGCGCGAGCCAAAAGGUUUUAGAUGGAUGCCCCGCUUCACCACCAAAGCCAAGUUCUUAGCUCGUGGUGCCUCCGCCGGGAGGAAAGGGGUAGGUGGAACCGAAGAUGGCCGUGGAGGGGGAGGGGCUGAGGGAGGAUAGAUCGGCACUGACCGCUGAACGAAGUGGCCGCCAUUUUUCAGACGGGUAUGCGAUCGGUUUAAAGGUCGUCGUAGUCGUAAGAGCUACCGAGCUACCGCCAGGUGAAGGAGUGUGAGGAAGAGGUCUUGGUUUGUUAUUUUUUUGCUCUUCCCGUUCUCU